UAUAUGGUGUGUGCUGUUUUAUUUAGCAUCGUUGAUACCUCUCAGCUACCUGCGUAUCGAACCUGGCAGUGACUGCUGGAACGAAAGGGUCACAAGAAAAGAGGGAAAAAGUGACGAACAAAUAGUGCAGGAGGAGACAACACAAUUAUUCAAUUAUUUUGACAAAAUGGCUGACCACAGAGAACGAGACUCGUAUUAUUCACAGACUGAUCCACGAUCUAAAAAUGAUGAUCCACCGAAUUCGCGUUUGUUUGUUAUUUGCCAUAAGAGUCUGGAAGAAGAUGAUCUCAGGAAAGCAUUCGAAAAGUUUGGUAAAAUUGAAGAUAUAUGGGUUGUCAAGGAUCGCACAACAGGUGAAAAUAAAGGAGUGACGUACAUAAAAUUUUCGAAGACCUCUGAAGCAGCUUUUGCACUUGAGGAAAUGAAUGGGAAGAUGCUGGGAUCAGUGGGACGGCCAAUCAAAGUCAUGAUUGCAUCAAACCGUGAUCAGGGAUCAGUUCGCGAGACGAAUGAAGAGGAACGCUGGGUACGUCUAUUCUGUGUCCUACCAAAAUCGAUGAACGACCACGACUUGCAGAACGAAUUUUCGAAAUUUGGUGCAAUUGAGUACGUAACAGUGGUAAAAGACAGAAACACAAAUGAGUCAAAAGGUUUUGGGUACGUUAAAUUUAAAAAAGUAUCUAGUGCAGCAAGAGCUUUCGAGGAAUGCGAUAGAAAGUACAAAGCUGUCUUUGCUGAGCCAAAGAAGCCAAAGCCAGAUCAUUCUGAGCCCAAAUAUAACAAUGGCAUGUCAAUGCCUUACGAGACCAUUGGCAACAGCUACGGUAGCGCAAAUUUUAGUAAAAAUCCAAUUGGCCUUGAAAUUGCAACAAACUAUCAGAAUCCAGAUGGCUACAUAAGGCUCCAGGUUAUUGCGCAUCCUGCCCUGAACCAGGAUCAACUCUGGAAGUUGUUUGAUAUCGUUCCUGGUCUGGACUAUUGCCAUUUGAAGACCGACGUCAGAUACAGAAUGCCACGGGGACAGGCAACAGUUGUUUACUCUCAUCCGAGUGCAGCAGCAUAUGCUAGAGAGAAAUUUCAUGGAUUUGAAUAUCCACCUGGUCACCGCAUGAUCGUUAAGCCUGAUAUGGCGGGUUUGACGCCGCAAAAAAGUACAGUUAAACCCGGUGGAUCGAGUUUAACCGGUAUUAAUGCCAGAACCGAUCUAGCCCACCUAGCGGAAACAAUUGCACAAGCUACGUCGUUGAUACAGGCGGCUGGACUAACGGCUCCGAACUUUAGGACACCAAAUGACCAAAAUCUCCUGAUGACUGCAGGUUUGGAGCACGCGAUUUCAUUGAAAUUGCCACCAGUGCUACCAAUGGCUAGUAUAGAUGCUGAAGUCGAGAAAAGAUGUUUCAUUGUGUGUGGACCACCUGUGCCUCCCAUCUACGCUAUGAAAGAUGCAUUCUGUAGAUUUGGGAAUCUCAUUGACGUGUACAUGCUUCCAGGAAAAAAUUGUGGGUAUGCAAAGUAUGCCAGUGUUGAAAGCGCGAAUAAAGCUAUCGAGGACAUGGAAUUAGAAUGGGGAGGCACGGUAAAGACACUUCCUCUUGCCACCACUGGAGCCCUAUUGAAUUAUUCUAGCCUCUCCACGGGCGGGAGAGAGGCUAGAUCCAAGUACUUCACGGUCAAGAAAUUUGUGGUUCUCGGUUGAAAGUUCUGGAGGCCGAGGAGCGUAACGACGAUCGUCGUAAACGUUUGCGGAUGGAUGAAGAGGAGCAUUAAAGAGUGAACAGCUUUGUUUUUGUUUUUUGUAUCACACUGACUGGUUAAACACAAGCUGGACGCACGCAACGAUGAGACUAUAAAAAUAUGCAUAUUAACAAUAAUUUCUAAGACUCAGUUGACCUCCGUCGGACCAGCAACAGAGGAAAAUUAUCUACAACAAAUAUUCACUACUUUGAAAAGCCUGCUCUCAUAUUUUUUUUUAUUCCUUCACAAAAUCAACAUUAAAAAACUCCAACAUUGCAUCACUUUAUCUCACACGGAGAGAAAAAUAUUACUAUACUUUACGAUACUUUUUAUCCAUUUUCUUCUCCGUACAGCUUCACAAUUGCAACACUCAGAUCCGAAGUAUUUCUAUUUGUUCUGCAGAUAGGCCUGUGCGAAGACUGAUUCAUUUUUAGUAGUCUCUUAGAUUUUGUUCAUUAAAAAAAAAAAAAAUAAUAAUUGUCUCGAUGACUAGCUGUUCAUCAAAUGCCGAUUGUGCUUUUGGAGGAAGUGAUAACGGAAACAAACAAAAUAAUCGUCGCAAAAGAUUCAUAAAUUAAUGCAAGUGAGGGACGUCCAGAAUAUAUUUUUAUACAGCUAAAAUGCUGGCUGAGUAAACGCAAAGUAACUUGACGUAGGAUUGGAUGAAAAAUCUAGCGAUUUAUAAUAAUAUACAAUCAUUUGUACUAAAUGACAUUUCUUUGUCAAUCCCACAUUGUUCGCACAGGCUUGCAUGUCUAGCCUGUGUCUUAAAAUGUAUUUUUUAUUUAUGUAAAAUCUGUGUAUAUGGGUUUCCAAAUUUUGAGAUAAUUAAAGUAGUUACUUUAUCCUUUUUUGGGAAAAUAAAAUUAGGGAGACUCACCCUAGUAAGAAAAUUCUUCUCUUUACCACAUUCAUUCAUUCGUAGAAUGUGAUUGUUCAUUCGGAUCAUUUCGCUAGUCUUUCAGUGAUGAAUUUAUUUGCAAUGGGAUUUCUUUAAUUCAAUGAUGAUCAUUAAUUACUCAUGUUGACUGUACACGUAAAGGCUUAAGUAUUAGUUUACGGAUAGACUCAUAAAAUUUUGGGAACUAUUCCAGUAAUAUUCGACAGAUUAGAUUUAUUUGCUUUACAUCACGGAUUUUUACAUCACAAUUUUUUGUUUCUAAUCAGCUAGGGCCACUGAUCAGUUUUUUUGGUACCCAAUACUGGUACAAAAAUACAGAUUUAAAAAAUACCAACAGAAUUCUGCAUUUUUUAUUGAGGACACAUCCACAAUGAUUACUAAAUAAAAGAAAUAUUUAAACGUAUAGAUAUUUUAAAUGCUGAAAAUGAUAGGAGAAUAAUUGGAAUUCCAUGACAAGCAAUAACUCCGUAAGUGAAAACAAAUUUUUUGUUUGUCAUACAAUGGAGAGUGAAACAUUUACUCUUGACACUUAAAAACUAAUGGACUGUAUGCUGACUGUAACUGGAAUGUUGACAUAAUGAAAAAUACACUGUAUAUGAAGGAAA